rnacentral:rRNA from 1 species
CCUACGGGAGGCUGCAGUGGGGAAUAUUGGGCAAUGGGCGCAAGCCUGACCCAGCAACGCCGCGUGAAGGAAGAAGGCUUUCGGGUUUUAAACUUCUUUUAUCAGGGACGAAGCAAGUGACGGUACCUGAUGAAUAAGCCACGGCUAACUACGUGCCAGCAGCCGCGCUAAUACGGCGGUGGCAAGCGUUAUCCGGAUUUAAUGGGUGUAAAGGGCGUGUAGGCGGGAGUGCAAGUCAGAUGUGAAAACUAUGGGCUCAACCCAUAGCCUGCAUUUGAAACUGUACUUCUUGAGUGCUGGAGAGGCAAUCGGAAUUCCGUGUGUAGCGGUGAAAUGCGUAGAUAUACGGAGGAACACCAGUGGCGAAGGCAGAUUGCUGGACCGUAACUGACGCUGAGGCGCGAAAGCGUGGGGAGCAAACAGGAUUAGAUACCCGAGUAGUC